UACGUAGGGUGCAAGCGUUAAUCGGAAUUACUGGGCGUAAAGCGCGUGUAGGCUGCUCCGAAAGUCAGGUGUGAAAGCCCCGGGCUCAACCUGGGAAGUGCACUUGAAACCUCGGAGCUUGAAUGUCGGAGAGGGCAGCGGAAUUCUCGGUGUAGAGGUGAAAUUCGUAGAUAUUCGCAAGAACACCAGUGGCGAAGGCGGCUUACUGGACCGGUUCUGACGCUGAGGCGCGAAAGCGUGGGGAGCAAACAGG
rnacentral:rRNA from 1 species